rnacentral:rRNA from 1 species
UACGGAGGGUGCAAGCGUUGUCCGGAUUUAUUGGGUUUAAAGGGUGCGUAGGCGGCUAAUUAAGUCAGUGGUGAAAGCCCGCAGCUCAACUGUGGAACUGCCAUUGAUACUGGUUAGCUUGAGUUUGGUUGAGGUAAGCGGAAUGGAUAGUGUAGCGGUGAAAUGCAUAGAUAUUAUCCAGAACACCGAUAGCGAAGGCAGCUUACUGGGCCGAUACUGACGCUGAGGCACGAAAGCAUGGGUAGCGAACAGG